rnacentral:tRNA from 1 species
UUAGGAAGUGGUGUAAUCGGAAGCACUAAGAGUUUUGAUCUCUUGAAUAUGGGUUCAAGUCCUAUUUUUCUAG